GUACCCGAAACCGACACAGGUGGGGUGGUAGAGAAUACCGAGGUGCGCGAGGUAACUCUCUCUAAGGAACUCGGCAAAAUGGCCCCGUAACUUCGGGAGAAGGGGUGCCACAGCAAUGUGGUCGCAGUGAAGAGGCCCUGGCGACUGUUUACCAAAAACACAGGUCUCCGCUAAGUCGCAAGACGAUGUAUGGGGGCUGACGCCUGCCCAGUGCCGGAAGGUUAAGGAAGCCGGUCAGCGUAAGCGAAGCUGGCGACUGAAGCCCCGGUGAACGGCGGCCGUAACUAUAACGGUCCUAAGGUAGCGAAAUUCCUUGUCGGGUAAGUCCCGACCCGCACGAAAGGCGUAACGAUCAGGGCGCUGUCUCGGAGAGAGGCUCGGCGAAAUAGAAUUGUCUGUGAAGAUGCGGACUACAUACACCCGGACAGAAAGACCCUAUGAAGCUUUACUGUAGCUUGGUAUUGUGCCCGGGCUCUGAAUGCGCAGGAUAGGUGGGAGACGUUGAUCUAGUGCUCGUGGGUACUAGGGAGUCAAUGGUGAGAUACCACUCUUUCAGAGCUAGGGUUCUAACGUUCACCCGUUAUCCGGGGAGCGGACAGUAUCAGGUGGGCAGUUUGACUGGGGCGGUCGCCUCCUAAAAGGUAACGGAGGCGCGCAAAGGUUUCCUCAGGCUGGUUGGAAAUCAGCCGACGAGUGCAAAAGCAGAAGGAAGCUUGACUGUGAGACCUACAAGUCGAACAGGGACGAAAGUCGGCUUUAGUGAUCCGACGGUUCUGAGUGGAAGGGCCGUCGCUCAACGGAUAAAAGUUACUCUAGGAUAACAGGCUGAUCUCCCCCAAGAGUUCACAUCGACGGGGAGGUUUGGCACCUCGAUGUCGGCUCAUCGCAACCUGGGGCUGAAGUCGGUCCCAAGGGUUGGGCUGUUCGCCCAUUAAAGCGGUACGCGAGCUGGGUUCAGAACGUCGUGAGACAGCUCGGUCCAUAUCCGGUGUAUGCGUAGGAAUAUUGAGAGGAUUUCUCCCUAGUACGAGAGGACCGGGAGGAACGCACCUCUGGUGUACCAGUUAUCGUGCCAACGGUAAACGCUGGGUAGCCAUGUGCGGAGUGGAUAACCGCUGAAAGCAUCUAAGUGGGAAGCCCACCUCAAGAUGAGUAUUCCCAUGGGGUAACCCAGUAAGGUCACGGGAAGAACACCCGUUGAUAGGCUCUACGUCGAAGUUCAGUAAUGGAUGCAGCGGAGGAGUACUAAUAGACCGAGGGCUUGACCGC
rnacentral:rRNA from 1 species